rnacentral:rRNA from 1 species
UACGUAGGUGGCAAGCGUUAUCCGGAUUUAUUGGGCGUAAAGGGAACGCAGGCGGUCUUUUAAGUCUGAUGUGAAAGGCAGUGGCUCAACCAUUGUAUGCAUUGGAAACUGGUAGACUUGAGUGCAGGAGAGGAGAGUGGAAUUCCAUGUGUAGCGGUGAAAUGCGUAGAUAUAUGGAGGAACACCGGUGGCGAAAGCGGCUCUCUGGUCUGUAACUGACGCUGAGGUUCGAAAGCGUGGGUAGCAAACAGG